rnacentral:rRNA from 1 species
CAGUCGACGGGAAGAGAUGAAGAGCUUGCUCUUUAUCAAAUCCAGUGGCAAACCGUUGAGUAACACGUAAACAACCUGCCUUCAGGAUGGGGACAACCUACGGAAACGACUGCUAAUACCGAAUACGUUCCACGGGCCGCAUGACCUGUGGAAGAAAGGGUAGCCUCUACCUGUAAGCUAUCGCCUGAAGAGGGGUUUGCGUCUGAUUAGGCAGUUGGUGGGGUAACGGCCCACCAAACCAACGAUCAGUAGCCGGUCUGAGAGGAUGAACGGCCACACUGGAACUGAGACACGGUCCAGACUCCUACGGGAGGCAGCAGUGGGGAAUCUUCCGCAAUGGACGAAAGUCUGACGGAGCAACGCCGCGUGAGUGAAGACGGCCUUCGGGUUAUAAAGCUCUGUGAUCCGGGACGAAAGAGCCUAAGGUAAAUAGCCUAAGGAAGUGACGGUACCGGAAAAGCAAGCCACGGCUAACUACGUGCCAGCAGCCGCGGUAAUACGUAGGUGGCAAGCGUUGUCCGGAAUUAUUGGGCGUAAAGCGCGCGCAGGCGGCUUCCUAAGUCCAUCUUAAAAGUGCGGGGCUUAACCCCGUGAUGGGAUGGAAACUGGGAAGCUGGAGUAUCGGAGAGGAAAGUGGAAUUCCUAGUGUAGCGGUGAAAUGCGUAGAGAUUAGGAAGAACACCGGUGGCGAAGGCGACUUUCUGGACGAAAACUGACGCUGAGGCGCGAAAGCGUGGGGAGCAAACAGGAUUAG